AAGGCCUGGCACUGAUGGAUGAGCCCAAGUCGGAUUAGCUAGUUGGCGGGGUAACGCACCAAGGCGACGAUUCGUAGCUGGUCUGAGAGGACGAUCAGCCACAGGACUGAGACACGGCCCAGACUCCUACGGGAGGCAGCAGUGGGGAAUGGACAAUGGGGGAAACCCUGAUCCAGCGACGCCGCGUGGGUGAAGACCUGCGGGUUGUAAAGCCCUUUUGGUAGGGACGAAAGCUCUYGACCUAACACGUCGAGAGGAUGACUUAACCUACAAAAGAAGCACCGGCUAACUUCUGUGCCAGCAGCCCGCGGUAAUACAAAGGGUGCGAGCGGUUAAUCGGGCGUAAAGCGCCACGUA
rnacentral:rRNA from 1 species